rnacentral:ncRNA from 2 species
GCGCCGUCCCCGGGGAGCCAGCAAGUGGCUGAGAGUUGUGGGUAUGCUCCACAAGACCCGUUGAACCUGAACCCGUUAGUACGGGCGGAGGAAGUGGAGCGUCGGGUUUGA